AGCCACACCCGAGGCAUAUGGAGGUUCCCAGGCCAGGGGUCCAAUCUGAGCUACGGCCACCGGCCUAUGCCCGAGCCAUAGCAAUGCCAGAUCCAAGCAGUGUUUGCAAUCUAUACCACAGCUCACAGCAAUGCUGGAUCCUUAACCCACUGAGCAAAGCCAGGGAUCGAACCUGCAACCUCAUGGUUCCUAGUUGGAUUUGUUUCUGCUGUGCCAUGAUCAGAACUCCUGGAGUCGUGUCUUAAAGAAAGCUGGGCUUGGGGACCCAUGUCCUGCCCUUUCUGGGGGCCAGUUGGCAGGGAAAGGCUGCUGGGAGGGAGGCCAGGGGGUCCUGAGUUGAGAGGAUAGGAACCCGGUCAUCACAGGUGGGGUGAAAGGGACAGAGUGUGUAUGGAGGUGCUGACAGACUCCAAGGGGGCUGAGCCGGGCCAAGGGGCUGCUGAGGCCAGGACAGAGCAGCGCCAUCAGGAAGGGGAGCAUGCCUGGGACAGGAGAGGGUGUCUACCUGGUGGAGACAGCUGAUGUCAUCACACAGAUCCCUCCCUGAGUGCACACCUAAGUCAAGGUGCCCUUGGACAAAAAGGGGUGUAACGAGGUGCUGUUGCCAACUCUGGCUAGAGGCCCUGCAGGCCUACGCAAACAUUCUGGACCAACACUGUGGGCUGAGCUACUGGAGAGAGAACAAACAGCAACUUUCAUUUAGUGCCACGGAGUACCUGGUUUCCCAUAGGCAAGAGCCCUGAGCUGGGUUUGCAGGGGGACAGGCGUUGCUGUAGGGCUCCCCUGGGAUGCGGGCGGGGGGCAGUGUGGCUAAAGAUAUGGGCCUCUGAGGAGAUUAAGAAUUGGGGACACCAUGAACUGAUAUUCUUUUAACCCUGGCUCAUUGUGGCUGAGGUUGGGGGGAGCUGCAAGCUGCGUGGGAGGGAGAAAGGAGAGCAGACCAGCCUGGAACCUAGAGCCCCUGGAAAGCCCGAUGGCCUGCACAAAGCUCCCCAGGCCCCUCCCGGGGCCCCGUGUGAGUCACAGAGGCCCCCAGUUGUGUGGUCCCAGACUUCCUCUGAACCACAGGCAGUGCCCUCUCUUCCGAAGAGGAGUUCUCAUCCGGGCCAUCUUCCCAUCUCUUCGCAUGUUUCUUGAGACAUGUCAAUGGCUUUAACACAGCGCCAGUGCUGGCAGAAGGGAGCAUGGUGAGAAGAUUCUUCAGGCCAAAGGAGGGCCCAUCUGGGAGGGGUCCAGGUGCUUCUCCAGGGCUGCAGGGUGGCCUAGAGGUGGAGAAGGGCAGGAGAUGGGAGUCAGCAAGGGCCAGGCCGACGGAGCCCCUGUGUGGACCCUGAAAUCCCUGUGCCUUUGCCCCUUAAAUCAUGUUCUGAGAGCAACAGCUUCCUCCUGUGGGCGGGAGGGAGCUGUGUGAGAGGCAUUGUCCCAGCAACUGUCCCUGGGGAAAGGGGGCUUCUGGAGAGAGUGUCACCUCGGUCGGUAACUUCCAUGCUGGCUGGGUCAGAACCAUAAACAGGGCCUCUUUCUUCAGAUUGCACCACUGUGACUCUUCAACUCACUUGGCAGGUGGGUGUUUUUGUGGCCGGCGGUGAUCAUGGACUUGCAAAAGCCAUGGUAACAUGUCCAAUUUCUCACGAUGAUCUACCAGGCUGUCAACCUCUGAAAUGGACCAGUCAGCGCUGCGUCAUUUCCGCUUAGGUAAUUUGCUGGUCCCUGGUAAGGGGCACAGAGGAAGGCUUGGGAGCAGUGCUCCUGAAUCUUGGACAGCAGCGUGGGGCGCAGGUGGCGAAGUGGCCCACUGAGAUGCCCAGUGCCUGGUCUCACACCUGUCACCUCUCGGCUGUUCCAGGGGCAGUGGAGGCUCCUGUGCCCUUGGAGGAGGGAUGGGUGCAGAGGGGCCUCAGUCUCUCUGCUUCCUGGGACAAGCUCUGGACUCCCCACACCUCUUCCAGGGGGCCCUGCGGGCCUGGAUUUUCCAUCCCUGCCGCAUUUCUCCCCAGGUUGUGUUUUGAGCAGUCCCUCACCAUGGUAACCAGCCAGAAGUGGAACCCUAGCCAAAGGCAAUGGUGACAAUGACACCAUUCUUGGGCCUUGGACCGACUGGGCGGUUCUUCCCCCUGAGGCUCUGGCAAGGGGCCCACCCACCACCUGCUUCCGGAGGAAAGGUGAGCCUUCCAAGGAACAUGUUCAGGCCAUGAGCCUCUGGGAGGUGAACCAGACAGAAGCCUGACCAAGAGCCUCGUCAAAGCUCUGAGGGGGAGUUUCCACUGGGACUCGGCCGGUUACAAACCCGACUGGUAUCCAUGAAGAUGCAGGUUCGAUCCCUGGCCCCAAUCCAUGGGUUAAGGAUCCGGCAUGGCUGUGAGCUGUGAUGUGGGUUUCAGACGCGGCUCAGAUCCCACAGCAUUGCUGUGGCUGUGGUGUAGGCUGGCAGCUACAGCUCUGAUUUGACCCCUAGCCUGGCAACUUCCACGUGCCACAGGUGUGGCCCUGAAAAGCAAAACGAAAAACCUCCGAGGAGACUACUGUCACUCAGGGCAGCCUUGAGGCAGGCGGGUGGCACAGGUAAGCUCAGCGUGGCCACAACAGCUUCAGGGCAAUGCCGCCGUCCCAUUUCAUAGAGGAGGAAAACGGAGGUUCAGAAAGGUAGAGUAACCUGCUCCAGGCUACAGUCAGUGGGUGUGAGGCCAUGUGACUCCAGAGCCAUGCUUUUUACCAACCGGUGGGUGUACUUUAAACAACAACAAUGUCAAACAGCCAUGUCCAAGUGCCAGGAAUCGAGAUGGCCUUGGUCCCACCCGACGUUUUGUUUCGGAAAUCUCUGUUGAGUGCAGCCAAGUGGAAAGUCCAGCCCUCGUUCCCUCCCGAGCCUCAGGGGCUCAGCCAGGUUUGGCGCCCACCCUGGCCCUCGGCUUCCCGCCAGGCCCAGGUCGGCCGUCCCCGGGAUGCGCCUGGUUCGGGCGUCUGGAGCUUUGCUUUGAGUCCAGGAAACUGCACAGGACACAGCUGAGUCUCCCACACAUGCUGUGUCCCGAGAAAACAAAGCGGGGGUUUCCCUGGGCUCUGUGAGCACCGGGGCCUGGCCGGCUCUCUCUGCCCAGCACGCACCCCCACCUCCAGGACCCUCUCAAGGCCAGCGCCCCCCAGCUCUGGGCUGUUAGUGGGCGGCGAGCUUCCCGGGAUUGUCCAGUGACAGGGCUUCCCCAGACAUGAUCUUCCUCGAUGAGCUCAUCCCCCGAUUCAGGCGGGGCUGGGAGCUGCUCCGGCACAACAAAGCGGGUGCAGGAGACAUCCUGCGUGACUCAUCGGUGGGCCACCAGCAGGGGCUUCCGGCUCUCAGGAGCAACCAGACACAGAGGGCCACUGUUUGCUCUGGAAGCCCCCUGCGGGCACUGCAGACUCAAUGGGGUCAUUUGUGUUUUUUGUCCCUGCUUCUCUGUAACCGUAAUCCUUCCGGGGGUGGGGGUCCAAGACAGCUACAGAUCUGUUUCUGUUAUCAUCUCUCCAGAUACUUAUCUAGGGCAGAAACCCCCUGAUCCCACAGCCACACUCUACCCAGGAAUGUGGCCCACACCUGGGGACACAGGCCUGAGGGGCUGGUGCUAAAGGCUGAGCAGGUGCCCUUGGGUUUGGACCAAGCUGGGGCCCCUUAGGAAGCUCAAGGGUUAAAAAGCAAAAGUCAUUUUUUUGGAGAAGAAUCAAGGAAUAUUAAAAAGGAAUUCAUAGGAAGGGAAAUCUGAAUGACUAAGAAGUUCAAAAAAAGGUUGUCAACGCCACUAGUUAUCAGAGAAAUGCAAAUUAAAACAGUGAGAUGCUGUUUUAUACCCUGGAGAUUGGUCAAAAUUGCCAAGACAGAUACUAUCAAGUGCUGGCAGGGUGUGGAGAAGAGGGAGCCCUCAGGAACUGCCACUGGGAAUGAACUCCAGGAAGGCAAGUGAUGGCUUUUUAAUUGAAAAUCAUUAUGCAAAUUGCAUAUGCAAGGAAUCUGCCAUGGGAAUUCCACUCCUGCUGAGGUCAGCUCAAAGGUAUGACCAGGCCUCAGGAUACCAGAGCAGAGGACCUGUUCCAGGGAGGUGUCCCCCACCUGCACUCCUGGCCACGCCCUUCCCCUGUGCACAGGUUUCUCUAGCAACACCUAGAAGCCAGGCCCCAGUGAGAGCCCUCUCGUCCAGCCCAACACGGGGCUGGCUCACUGCCCAGCUGCUGACUCUGGCUCAGUGGGGGCUUGGCAUCAGGACUCUGACCCUUGAGAAGGCAAGACAUGUCACUCCCUUUCUGUGCUCCAGCCUGACACCCUCACCUUCUCACUUCACUGCUGGUAUGAGUUUAUUAGUUUUCUUUGUUUAAAAAAAUGACUACAAACUCAGCUGCUUCAAACAACACACCUUUAUUAUUUCAGCUCAGGGGUCUAGACCUGGCUGAGCUGGAUUCUUUGCUCAGGGCCUCACAAGACGGCAAUCAAGGUAUGAGCUGAGCAGUAUUCUCAUCCAGAGGCUCAAGUGGGGAAGGAUCUGCCUCUGAGUUCACGCGUUUCCUUGCAGCUGUGGGAUGGAGCCCCCGCCCCCUUUCUGACUGUCAGGGCCACCGCUCAUCUUAGAGGCUUCCUGGCCAGGCGGGCUUCCCCACCACAGCUGCUUACUCCAUCAGGCUGACAAGGCAAGGCUCGGACCCAGAAAGGGCCCAAUCCCUCUUUUAAGGGUUUUCACCUGAUUAAACCUGGCCCACCCAGAAUAACCUCAGGUUUGAUUAACUCCGAAUCAGC
rnacentral:lncRNA from 1 species